rnacentral:rRNA from 1 species
AACGUCGAAGAAAUCGGCACUAAUACCUCAUAAUGCAGCGGAUCCGCAUGGAUAUGUUGUUAAAGGUUUACCGCCUUGGGAUAGGCUUGCGUCUGAUUAGCUAGUUGGUGUGGUAACGGCACACCAAGGCUACGAUCAGUAACUGGUCUGAGAGGAUGAUCAGUCACACUGGAACUGAGACACGGUCCAGACUCCUACGGGAGGCAGCAGUGAGGAAUAUUGGGCAAUGCUCGAAAGAGUGACCCAGCAACGCCGCGUGGAGGAUGAAGGUAUUCUAUAUCGUAAACUCCUGUGAGAGCAGACGAAAGACAGAUUAUUAAUCUGGAUGACUGUAUGCUCAGAGGAAGCCCCGGCUAACUACGUG